rnacentral:rRNA from 1 species
GACGAACCGUGCAAACGUUGUUCGGAUUCACUGGGCUUAAAGGGCGCGUAGGCGGCUUGUCAAGUCAGGGGUGAAAUCUUUCGGCUCAACCCGGAAAAUAGCUUCUGAUACUGGCAGGCUGGAGGGAGGUAGGGGCGGAUGGAACUUCCGGUGGAGCGGUGAAAUGCGUAGAUAUCGGAAGGAACGCCGGUGGCGAAAGCGAUCCGCUGGACCUCUUCUGACGCUGAUGCGCGAAAGCCAGGGGAGCAAACGGG